rfam:Pelecanus crispus contig97949, whole genome shotgun sequence.
CUUCGGUGAUGAUACGAUGACGAGUCAGAAGGGAUGUCCUUGUGUCAUGGCAGCCUGUUCAGUGCCACGUUCUGUGGUGCUGUGCUAAGGCUGCCUUGGGCAGGAUAUCCUAUUCAUUGGAUGAUUUAGAGGCAUUUGUCUGAGAAGG